rnacentral:tRNA from 1 species
UCCCUGGUGGCUCAGUGGGUAAAGAGCCUGCCUGCAGUGCAGGACAGCCAUGUUCGAUCCCUGGUUUGGGAA